AUAAGGGCAGCCAGGGAAGAUGUUAUUUAUCUUUAGUAUCGCAGUAUAAAAAGCCCAACUGUUUAGUAUCGAAAAACCUGUCCAGUCGUUGCACUCCAAAACAGAAGUGCCGGGCAUAGGUUCAAGUUUGUGGAUGUUAGUGCUAUUUGCAGUGGCAUUAAUGUGAGAGCUGUCGGAGGAAAUUAAAGUAGGAUCCGCCUGCCAAAGUCCACCAGGGGGGCUGAGAACAGCUUGGUAU
rnacentral:misc_RNA from 1 species